GCGCACCAGGCGAGAAACCUCCGCAAUGCGGGCAACCGCGACGGGGGACCCCACGUGCCGUGGCAUCGCCACGGCUUUUCCGGAGUGUAAAAAGCUCCGGGAAUAAGGGCUGGGCAAGGCCGGUGGCAGCCGCCGCGGUAAUACCGGCGGCCCGAGUGGUGGCCGCUAUUAUUGGGCCUAAAGCGUCCGUAGCCGGGCCUGUAAGUCCCUGGCGAAAUCCCACGGCUCAACCGUGGGGCUUGCUGGGGAUACUGCAGGCCUUGGGACCGGGAGAGGCCGGGGGUACCCCUGGGGUAGGGGUGAAAUCCUAUAAUCCCAGGGGGACCGCCAGUGGCGAAGGCGCCCGGCUGGAACGGGUCCGACGGUGAGGGACGAAGGCCCAGGGGGAGCGAACCGGGAUUAGAUA
rnacentral:rRNA from 1 species